rnacentral:rRNA from 1 species
GACGAACGCUGGCGGCGUGCUUAACACAUGCAAGUCGAACGAAGUGGCGAACGGGUGAGUAACGCGUAAUCAACCUGCCCUUCAGAGGGGGUCAACAGUUGGAAACGACUGCUAAUACCGCAUACGGAAGGACGGGGUUGCGUCGGCGUGGCUAGUUGGAGGGGUAACGGCCCACCAAGGAGAUGAUCAGUAGCCGGUCUGAGAGGAUGAACGGCCACAUUGGGACCGAGACACGGCCCAGAAUCCUACGGGAGGCAGCAGUGGGGAAUCUUCCGCAAUGGACGAAAGUCUGACGGAGCAACGCCGCGUGAGUGAUGACGGCCUUCGGGUUGUAAAGCUCUGUUAAUCGGGACGCGGUACCGGAAUAGAAAGCCACGGCUAACUACGUGCCAGCAGCCGCGGUAAUUC